rnacentral:rRNA from 1 species
AUACGGAGGAUCCGAGCGUUAUCCGGAUUUAUUGGGUUUAAAGGGUGCGCAGGCGGCCAUUUAAGUCAGCGGUUAAAUCGUGGGGCUCAACCCCAUUCUGCCGUUGAUACUGGGUGGCUUGAUUGCGGUCGAGGUUUGCGGAAUUCGUUGUGUAGCGGUGAAAUGCAUAGAUAUGACGAAGAACACCGAUUGCGUAGGCAGCUGACCAGACCGCAAAUGACGCUCAUGCACGAAAGUGCGGGGAUCGGACAGGAUUAGAUACCCUGGUAGUCCGCACAGUAAACGAUGAAUACUUGUUUUCGGCGAUAUAAUGUCGGAGGCAAAGCGAAAGCGAUAAGUAUUCCACCUGGGGAGUACGCCGGCAACGGUGAAACUCAAAUGAAUUGACGGGG